rnacentral:rRNA from 1 species
AGCGAACGCUGGCGGCAGGCUUAACACAUGCAAGUCGAGCGGGCACUUUCGGGUGUCAGCGGCGGACGGGUGAGUAACGCGUGGGAACGUGCCCUCUGGUUCGGAAUAACUCAGGGAAACUUGAGCUAAUACCGGAUACGCCCUUUUGGGGAAAGGCUUGCUGCCGGAGGAUCGGCCCGCGUCUGAUUAGCUAGUUGGUGAGGUAACGGCUCACCAAGGCGACGAUCAGUAGCUGGUCUGAGAGGAUGAUCAGCCACACUGGGACUGAGACACGGCCCAGACUCCUACGGGAGGGAGCAGUGGGGAAUAUUGGACAAGGGGCGCAAGCCUGAUCCAGCCAUGCCGCGUGAGUGAUGAAGGCCUUAGGGUUGUAAAGCUCUUUUAUCCGGGACGAUAAUGACGGUACCGGAGGAAUAAGCCCCGGCUAACUUCGUG